rnacentral:rRNA from 1 species
UUAAGAUACUAAGAGCAUACGGUGGAUGCCUUGGCGAUAUCUGCCGACGAAGGACGUGACAAGCUGCGAAAAGCUGCGGAGAGAUGCAAAUAAUCGGCGACCCGCAGACAUCCGAAUGGAGCAAUCCGGCUGUGAUGAUGCACAGCCAUCCAUGCCCAAGAGCAUGAGAAGGGAACCGGGCGAACUGAAACAUCUAAGUAACCCGAGGAAAAGAAAUCAAACGAGAUACCCCAAGUAGCGGCGAGCGAACAGGGAAGAAGCCCAAACCGGUGAAGGAAACUUUACCGGGGUUGAGGACCAUCAGACCCGCGAAGAACCUUAGCCGAAACUGUUGGGAAACAGUGCCGAAGACAGUGAAAGCCUGGUAGGCGAAAAAGAGAAACGCGGAGAUGGCACCAGAGUACCGCGGGACACGAGAAAUCCCGUGGGAAGCAGGGGGGACCACCCUCCAAGGCAAAACACAGAUAUCGACCGAUAGCGCAUAGUACCAUGAGGGAAAGGUGAAAAGCACCCCGGGAGGGGAAUGAAAGAGAACCUGAAACCGUAUGUUUACAAGCAGUCGGAGACCGCUUAAUAAUAAGGUCGACGGCGUGCCUAUUGAAGAAUGAACCGGCGAGUUACGAAGCCUGGCAAGGUUAAGCAGGAAAUGCGGAGCCGAAGCGAAAGCGAGUCUUAAGAGGGCGCAAGUCAGGAAGCGUAGACCCGAAACCACAGUGAUCUACCCAUGUCCAGGUUGAAACACAGGUAAAAAUGUGUGGAGGACCGAACCUAUAUCCGUUGAAAAGGGUUAGGAUGAGGUGUGGGUAGGGGUGAAAUUCCAAUCGAACGUGGAGAUAGCUGGUUCUCCCCGAAAUAGCUUUAGGGCUAGCCUCAGGGAAAAGAUUGCAGGCGGUAGAGCACUGAUCAGGAGAGGGACCUACCCGGUUACCAAACCCAGUCAAACUCCGAAUGGCUGCAAUCAUACCUGGGAGUCAGACUGCGACUAAUAAGGGCCGCAGUCAAAAGGGAAACAGCCCAGACCAUCAGCUAAGGUCCCCAAUGCCGUGCUAAGUGGAAAAGGAUGUGGCAUUUCAUAAACAACCAGGAUGUUGGCUCAGAAGCAGCCACCAUUUAAAGAGUGCGUAAUAGCUCACUGGUCGAGAGACGCUGCGCCGAAAAUGUCCGGGGCUCAAGCACGGAACCGAAGCUAUGGCAUGAUAGCAAUAUCAUGGGUAGGGGAGCGUUCUUAUAAGGAAGAAGCAUGACCGGAAGGACAUGUGGACAAAUAAGAAGUGAGAAUGCCGGUAUGAGUAUCGAAAAGAAAGGUGAGAAUCCUUUCCACCGAAAGCCCGAGGGUUCCUGAGCAACGAUCGUCGACUCAGGGUAAGUCGGGACCUAAGCCGAGGCGAGAAGCGUAGGCGAUGGACAACAGGUUGAAAUUCCUGUACCGGAUCAAGUCGAUCGAGCGAAGGAGCGACGCAGGAGGGCACAUGAUCGCGCGGCUGGAAGAGCGCGUCCAAGUGCGUAUGUUGCAGCAGAGGAAAACCCCUGCAGCUGAAAGCAGAGACAUGAUGGGGAGUUAAAGGAAACUUUGACGAACUCAUGGAUCCCACACUGCCAAGAAAAACUUCUAGCGAGACAAGAUCCGCCCGUACCGUAAACCGACACAGGUAGGCGGGGAGAGAAUCCUAAGGUGCGCGGGAAAACCCUCGUUAAGGAACUCGGCAAAUUGCAUCCGUAACCUAGGGAGAAGGAUGGCCCCCGGUCAGUGAAGAGCAGAAACGCUCAGAGCUAAAAGGGGCGGCAGAAAAGAGGCCCAAGCAACUGUUUACCAAAAACACAGGUGCCUGCGAAAGCGAAAGCUGAAGUAUAGGUGCUGACGCCUGCCCGGUGCCGGAAGGUUAAGGAGAGAAGUUAGCGAAAGCGAAGCAUCGAACUGAAGCCCCGGUGAACGGCGGCCGUAACUAUAACGGUCCUAAGGUAGCGAAAUUCCUUGUCGGGU